rnacentral:lncRNA from 1 species
GGGAGGAGGUCCGCAAGCUCCGGUUGAAAGACAAGCAUGCAGGCCUAAAGGGGGAAGGAGACAGUGGAUCAGAGGUUCUGGAAGCUUACCUGAGAAAAUACUCUCAAUGCCAAAAGCUUCUGGGACCUGUGAGAGGCUCAGCAGGGUGCUACAGUGCCAGGGAUGAAGAAGAUGGCCACAGGACUUUGGAUGCUGAGUUCUGUGAUGUAGGUGAUUUUGAUGAGAACUUUAGCCCGAGGGGAUUUCUGAAAGACCUUACAGGGAUGCCUUCUGUGUUACGUCUUGGUGAAAGGUGGACAUACUGAUAGACCCCGUUGACUGAUCCGAGGACCGGGCCAUGACCGGAGAAUGGGAAAAAGACAUUUUACAGUGGAAGACUGUGUUCUCUUAUCAGUCUGGCAGCCGAGUGCCCGGUGGCAGUACCAGCUCUUCUGCUUCACACAAUAGCAACUUCAUUUCCUCCUUUAGACAACACAAAUGGCCACAGAAGGUAUAUACCUGGGCUACGAAGUCUAUUAUUCUUCCCUUGAUGUGAACACUGUCGAGAGGGACAGCAUUUGCAGAUGCAUCCUGAAGGCCGGCUUUGACGUCUGUGAAGGGCUUGAUGUCUGGUAACUGGAAAUCUGCAAGUUACAAACACAAUGUCAGCUUCAGAACAAGCAUGGCUCUGUCUUCAUCGUCGGCAUUCUUACUACUUGCUCUAUGAUUGAGACAUUAUAUUUCGGCAAAGAUGGAAAAAUAAUAUUACACUCAUAGUAAGUUUUCUGUUCAAGAUAA